UACUAAUGUGUUUAACAUGUGGGG
rnacentral:piRNA from 1 species